rnacentral:rRNA from 1 species
AAGACCUUGCGCUUUUGGAGCGGCCGAUGCCUGAUUAGCUUGUUGGUAAGGUAAAAGCUUACCAAGGCUUCGAUCAGUAGCUGGUCUGAGAGGACGACCAGCCACACUGGGACUGAGACACGGCCCAGACUCCUACGGGAGGCAGCAGUGGGGAAUUUUGGACAAUGGGGGCAACCCUGAUCCAGCCAUGCCGCGUGAGUGAAGWAGGCCUUCGGGUUGUAAAGCUCUUUCAGCCGGAACGAAACGGUUACGGUUAAUACCCGUGACUACUGACGGUACUGGAAGAAGAAGCACCGGCUAACUACGUGCCAGCAGCCGCGGUAAUACGUAGGGUGCGAGCGUUAAUCGGAAUUACUGGGCGUAAAGCGUGCGCAGGUGGUUUUGUAAGUCAGAUGUGAAAGCCCCGGGCUCAACCUGGGAACU